rnacentral:rRNA from 1 species
UACCAGCACCCCGAGUGGUCGGGACGUUUUAUUGGGCCUAAAGCAUCCGUAGCCGGUUCUACAAGUCUUCCGUUAAAUCCACCUGCUUAACAGAUGGGCUGCGGAAGAUACUAUAGAGCUAGGAGGCGGGAGAGGCAAGCGGUACUCGAUGGGUAGGGGUAAAAUCCGUUGAUCCAUUGAAGACCACCAGUGGCGAAGGCGGCUUACUGGUCCGGUUCUGACGCUGAGGCGCGAAAGCGUGGGGAGCAAACAGGG